UCUCUCUCCCCACGUGACACACAAUCUUCACAUAUUCCUCACCCUCCACUACGUGUCACCCACUCUCUUGCCCUCAUAGAUUUCACUCCUCACAUAAAAACAAGAAGAAAAAAGAAAUCUAAAAAAUCUCUCUUCCCUCACGCUAUCCCACUCUCCUCGCCACACACUGCCCUCACACACUGACAUUCAGAAAAGAAUCCUCAC
rnacentral:lncRNA from 1 species